CGGACGGUGGAUGUGCUGCAGCUGCGCGCUCUGCCGGCCUGUCCUCCUGAGGAGAUCGCGCAGGUGCUAGGGGAAAAAAAACACAACAUAAAUCAAAGGGAAUGAACAGUAUGAAUGAGUAAGAAGAGGAGAGUAGCAGCAAUGAUGAAUGAAGGAAAAAACAGCCUGGACAAAGGUACUGCCCUGUCAACAGGUAAGGACUUCAGCUGGUAGCAGCCAGUGCACAAGAAAGAAGACGUGUCAUGUGGAACUGUGACGCAACAAUGGGUGACAAGAAGACCACCAGAAGACUGAAGAGGGGGAAAAGUAAAGGCACUGCCCUGUCAGCAGGGCUACAGUAAGCAGAACAGCGCUGGCACAUUAGGUGCCCGGGUUGGUUUUCUACUGUGUGACCACUCUGUAAGCAAGGGUGCAGGUGCUCAGGCUGCUUCUGUGUGCGCCCUACCCUACUUACCCAGGGUUGGAGCCGCACGGCAGAAGUAGCUUGAGGAGCUCUGUGCCUCAGGAUGGUGAGAAAAGUUGAUUUAAGUUGGUGUUGGUAAGACAAAGCCAGGGAUCCAAACGCAGCUCCUCAAAACAACCACCCUAAUGAACACAAACUUGAAAGUCCUCCCCAUUUCUUUCUGGCACAGGAGGUGGAGCUUCAAACCCAUGUCUAAUGGCUUGUGCUUUGUUUGCAGCAGCCAGCGCAGAAGAAGGAGGAGGCGUCGUGUGGAACGGCGAGGCAAGAGCGAGCGGGAAGAGGGAGCGGCAGAUGGAAGACGGGUAAAGAGGAGGACACCCUGGGCAAAGGCUUCGCCCUGUUAGCGGGGCUGUAGGUAGAGGAGAGCAGUGCUGGCACGUGAGGUGCCUGGAUUGUUUUGUGCUGGGCGACCUCCCUGUAAGCAGGGCUCGGGUCUUUGCGAUUGUAAUCGGCCUUUUGCCUUGUUGCUCCUUUGGCUGCCUGGGGGGAGCGGCCCCCUGUAAUCAGGGGCACAGCUGCUCUCUCCGCACCCGGGAGGACUGUGGAGCUUGCCGGACCCCAGGGCCUCCCUGUAGUCAGGGCAGAGCCAAUUCCCCACCCCCUUAAUUUUAGCCGUCUGGCUCUUUGUCUAAACUAUUUGUCUAAACGUGAUGGGCUAUGGAAACUUAGUAUAUGACUGAUGCCUAUGAUAUAAUGCCAACUAUUGCAUAAAAAGCAAUAUAAAAGCGAUAUAUAUAUAUAAUAUGACCUAUAUGAAUACAGUGAAAACAGAUUCUCUAAAGGAGAUGAACGAUAAAUUCUGAUGCAUGCUGUGUUUCAGCACGCCGUAGCUGGGGUGCAUUGUCCAAUUGGGUCUCGGCAGAAGCCGUUUCGGCUUCUGGACGUCUCUGGCAUCACUGUAAUUUCUGGGCGGGUCUGAGAUUCUCGCCUUAUGCUCGCGGGUGGCGUCUUGCUGCCCUGUGGUUGGCUGCGCUGGUCUCCUUCCCCACAGGGACGUUGUCUGUCCCUUUUCUCUGUUCUUUGCUCCUUCUCCAGGUGCGUGUGAGCGAGCGAUUGAGUUUUUCCUUAGGGCUCUCCUAGAAAUUGCUGCAGCUUAGCCCACACUUCCCUGGGGGGACCGAGGCCUUGCAGCAGCCUGAGCACAGAGAAUUUGAUAGGGACGGCGGAGUCCGGGCUUGGCCCUUUUUUUAUGGCAUUCAAGCGACACAAGAGUAGGAUGGGCGGCGGCACCCUGUAGUCAGGGCCUGGGUCUGCGCCCGUGUGCUUGUGUGUCUGCCGGAGACUAGUGCUCGUGACAACCCCGUCGUCGGGGUCUGUGUCACGAGGUGCGGAGCCCUCUGUCCCCGCGAGCAGGGCCGGCCUGUAAGCAGGUGCCGGAGCCAGUUGCUCUAGUCAGCCAGCAGGAACGAACAGCCCCCUCGCGGCCCUCUAGAGGGUGCGGGCUGGGGUGCUGCUGUUGUGGUCGGGGAUCUGCUUGGAGUCGGUAUUGCGUGGGCUUAGUCUGCCCGUAGGGCUCCUGAAGCGGUGGAGUUGUGGCACAGCCAGGCGGGCCGGUCCGGUCCGUGGGUGGGAGCCUCGUGCUCCACACAGUGUUGUGGCGCUGCUGGUGCAUGGGGUACCGCCCUGUAAGCAGGGUCAAGCGUAGCCCCGUGUCUCUCGCUGCAAGGAGCCCCCAGUAGCCAGGUGGGUCUCCGUGUCCCCCGCUUUACAUGGGCCUGGGGCCUCUAGAAGCAGGGCCGGGUUUUCACCCUCCCUGUAAGCAGGGCUUGGGGCCCGAGCCUCGGUAUUUAGCCAUCUCGCUCCGCUGGCGGGGGAAAGGUUGAGCUCUGCGGUUCCAUGGGUGUUGCGGACCCGCCUUAAGCAGGCUUUGGUCCGGAGCCUUUUGCUCCGCUGGCAGCUGUGGGGUGCCUGACCCGUUAGCGGGAUGCAGGCUUGUGGAUUCCCCACUUUGGGGAGAAGGAGCCUCCCGCGGCCUCUGGGCCCAGGGCAGCCCUGUAACUCAGGGUGCUGAUGCUCUGGUUCCCUGGGCACUUGAAAUUGUCAAUGGCUCCUCGGAGCCCCCCUGUUAGCCAGGGGUCCAGGCUCUUGGGCUGUU